rnacentral:rRNA from 1 species
AAAGAAACUAACAAGGAUUCCCCUAGUAACGGCGAGUGAAGCGGGAAGAGCUCAAAUUUGAAAUCUGGUGGCCUCAGGUCAUCCGAGUUGUAAUCUAUAGAAGUGUUUUCCGUGCUGGCUCAUGUACAAGUCCCUUGGAACAGGGCGUCAUAGAGGGUGAGAAUCCCGUCCUUGACAUGAACUACCAGUGCUCUGUGAUACAUUUUCAACGAGUCGAGUUGUUUGGGAAUGCAGCUCAAAAUGGGUGGUAAAUUCCAUCUAAAGCUAAAUAUUGGCGAGAGACCGAUAGCGAACAAGUACCGUGAGGGAAAGAUGAAAAGCACUUUGGAAAGAGAGUUAAACAGUAUGUGAAAUUGUUGAAAGGGAAACGAUUGAAGUCAGUCGUGCUCUUUGGAUUCAGCCGGUUCUGCCGGUGUACUUCCUUUGAGUGGGGUCAACAUCAGUUUUGAUCGCUGGAUAAAGGCAGGAGGAACGUAGUACCCUCGGGUAAACUUAUAGCCUCUUGUCACAUACAGUGGUUGGGACUGAGGAACGCAGCACGCCUUUAUGGCCGGGAUUCGUCCACGUACGUGCUUAGGAUGUUGACAUAAUGGCUUUAAACGACCCGUCUUGAAACACGGACC